AGAGUUUGAUCCUGGCUCAGAACGAACGCUGGCGGCAGGCUUAACACAUGCAAGUCGAACGAACGUAGCAAUACGUUAGUGGCGCACGGGUGAGUAACACGUGGAUAUCUACCUUUUGGUUCGGGAUAACCCUGGGAAACUAGGGCUAAUACCGAAUGGUUCCUACGGGAUAAAGAUUUAUCGCCAAAAGAUGAGUCCGCGUCCGAUUAGCUAGUUGGUGAGGUAAUGGCUCACCAAGGCGACGAUCGGUAGCUGGUCUGAGAGGACGAUCAGCCACACUGGGACUGAGACACGGCCCAGACUCCUACGGGAGGCGGCAGUGGGGAAUAUUGGACAAUGGGGGCAACCCUGAUCCAGCCAUGCCGCGUGAGUGAUGAAGGCCUUCGGGUUGUAAAGCUCUUUUGGCGGGGACGAUGAUGACGGUACCCGCAGAAUAAGCCCCGGCUAACUUCGUGCCAGCAGCCGCGGUAAGACGAAGGGGGCAAGCGUUGUUCGGAAUUACUGGGCGUAAAGCGAGUGUAGGUGGUUGUCAUAGUCAGGCGUGAAAGCCUUGAGCUCAACUCAAGAAAUGCGCUUGAUACUGGGCAGCUAGAGGACCGGAGAGGAUAGUGGAAUUCCCAGUGUAGUGGUGAAAUACGUAGAGAUUGGGAAGAACACCAGUGGCGAAGGCGGCUAUCUGGACGGUUUCUGACACUAAGACUCGAAAGCGUGGGGAGCAAACAGGAUUAGAUACCCUAGUAGUCC
rnacentral:rRNA from 1 species